rnacentral:tRNA from 1 species
GGGGCUGUGUCGGAAUUGGCAGACGAGCUAGACUUAGGAUCUGGUGCCGCGAGGCGUGAGGGUUCGAAUCCCUCCAGCCCCACCA